UCACAUCUACCUAGAGGAGCCUGUUCUUUAAUCGAUAACCCACGCUAGACCUCUCCCACACUUGUACCAUCAGCCUAUAUACCUCCGUCGCCAGCCCGCCUGAUAACAGACACCAAGCGAGUACAAUAGCCUAACCACUAACACGACAGGUCAAGGUGUAGCUAAUGUGUGGGCUGUAAUGGGCUACAUUUUUUAUUAUAAAACAAACCCGAGUGUUAUGAAAACCCCACGAAAAGGUGGAUUUAGCAGUAAGCAAGGAUUAGCACGCCAACCUGAAACCUGCCCUGAGAUGCGUACACACCGCCCGUCACCCUCCUCAACAACACAUAAACUAUAAUUAAUAACACAUCCAAUAUUAGAUGAGGCAAGUCGUAACAUGGUAAGCGUACUGGAAAGUGCGCUUGGAUAUUCCUGGUGGUAGCUUAAUCUAAAGCACUGAGCUUACAACUCAA
rnacentral:rRNA from 1 species